rnacentral:rRNA from 1 species
GACGAACGCUGGCGGCGUGCUUAACACAUGCAAGUCGAACGGUAAGGCCCUUCGGGGUACACGAGUGGCGAACGGGUGAGUAACACGUGGGUGACCUGCCCUGCACUUCGGGAUAAGCCUGGGAAACUGGGUCUAAUACCGGAUAGGACCACUGCCUGCAUGGGUGGUGGUGGAAAGCUUUUGCGGUGUGGGAUGGGCCCGCGGCCUAUCAGCUUGUUGGUGGGGUGAUGGCCUACCAAGGCGACGACGGGUAGCCGGCCUGAGAGGGUGACCGGCCACACUGGGACUGAGAUACGGCCCAGGCUCCUACGGGAGGCAGCAGUGGGGAAUAUUGCACAAUGGGCGCAAGCCUGAUGCAGCGACGCCGCGUGAGGGAUGACGGCCUUCGGGUUGUAAACCUCUUUCAGCACCGACGAAGCGCAAGUGACGGUAGGUGCAGAAGAAGGACCGGCCAACUACGUGCCAGCAGCCGCCGUAA